ensembl:lincRNA
CUGGCCUGUUGUCCCCCCGCAGUAGCUGCUGAAUGGAUGAGUGUUAGGGGCCAAGUGAUCCCUGAUAUAUGGGAGGGAAAGAGGAACCCUGGGCCUAGAGAGGUCGGCCAGCCAGAGCCAGGAGUAGGUUGUUCUAUCCGGUCGCCACCACCGUCACGUGAUCCUGAAAGCCUUCCUCGCGCCUGGAAUUCCUUCCACCCCUACUUCUCAAAGAUGCUGCGCACACUAAGACGGAACGCGAAAGUUCUUGGAGGGGUCCUGCGGCUGCUCCAGCUCCGGGACCUGGCUUCGCAAGGACUCCAUUUCGAACUCGGCUCCGGCUCGGUCUUCCCUCGACGCCCCCAGCGCCGCCCGGGCCCCCUCCAUCCUGUGCGCAGAGGAGCGGAGAGACGCCGAGCGGGACGCUCCUGGGCCCAGCGCUCUGGACUGUGCUGAUUUUUGAAAGUUAUGGCUUGGGCGGAGAGCGGUUGGCCAAGCCUGUAGAAAUCCUGGGACCUCAGUAAAAUCAGCGGGUCCAAAGGAAACGGGCCUGCUUGUGGAAAGGAGCAGAGCUGAGUAUCUGGGGAAGGAGCGGGACACCUGAGAGGUCGCCCCCAAGGCAGAAGUCGCAGGGACACCUACUCUGGAGGCCCGACUCCCACUCUGCGAACUCAAUAAAGACUGAGAGAUUAAUAAGCUUGAAAAUGUGUAUUUUCACCGGGACCAGUAAUCUAAAUACCGUUAAAAAUAUAUAGAUUCCUGGCGGACUCCACCUAGACCUACCGAAUCUCAUAAGGGGAUAAAGAGGCCAAUUUUCAACAAGCGCCCCAGGACUUCCCAGGUGGUGCUAGUGGUAAAGAACUUGUCUGUCAAGGCAGGAGACAUAAGAGACUCUAGUCUGAUCCCUGGGUCGGGAAGAUCCCCUGGAGUUGCUGCUAAGUCACUUCAGUCGUGUCCGACUUUGUGCGACCCCAUAGAUGGCAGCCCACCAGGCUCCCCUGUCCUGGGAUUCUCCAGGCAAGAACACUGGAGUGGGUUGCCAUUUCCUUCUCCAGUGCAUGAAAGUGAAAAGUGAAAGUGGUCGCUCAGUCGUGUCCGACUCUUAGCGACCCCAUGGGCUGCAGCCCACUAGACUCCUUCGUCCAUGGGAUUUUCCAGGCGAGAGUAUUGGAGUGGGGCGCCAUCGCCUUCUCGGCAAAUUAUGCUAAGAAAUUUAAAUAAAAAUUUUUGAAGAGGAAAAAACCUUGUAUUCUACAAGUCCCCUGCCACAAUUAUCUAAGCUUUUCAGUAAUGCAGCAGCAGUAUCAUUUCAAUGCUUUGUCAAACUAAUGGCUCCAGAAUACUAUAAGCCAGGCUUCAGAGCAAAAUUAAGAUUUUAGUUUUACUAGUUGAGCAUUUUGUAAGAAAUCACAACAUAAGUCUAAUAUAAACAUAUGUGCCUUGAAGACACUGCUAUCAGAUAAAAUGUAAACAGUUUCAAAUAUGAAUUAAACAAAAUUAUCCCCAGUGAGUGUGGGGAUACUAAGAAAAGUGUCCGUUUCUAUAAACAUCAAAAAGUAUUUUUAAUUAAUUCUUCACUGCAUAUAAAUGUCUGCUCUAUUUGAUAACUGCAGCAAAUACAAUAAACACAGUUAUCAAACAUCAGCCUGAACCAUAAAGAAAUCUUUAUAAACAAAGAAAUAAUAAAAUUCCUAAUAAUCUGAGAUACAGAAGUGAGAAGGAUUAGCAACUGAGUAUCUGUCUAUUGGUAUUUUUAAAAUUUUACUUAAGAGACCUCAAGGUUAACAUUUUAAAAUAAUUUGGCUACAUUACCAUGUAGUAUUUAAUAAGUUUAUUUGGGCUUAUACCAUGAAAGUAUCAUCUGACUAAUCAAAGAAUUUUAAAAUAAAAAUACUAGUAAUUUUGAUUUCUGUCAACAUAUCUGGCCCAAACCAUGUUUUUCAAAAGAAACUGGAUACAACAGCACCCACUGAAAAACAAAGGUGGGGAGAGGGGCUGUAAUUAAUAAGGAACCAAUAUGAACCAAAUCUCCCUACAACACAAGAAAUUAUUAAUCAAAUGUACUUCAGAUGUACUUUAUCUUUGGGGUUUCUGGGUAUGUCCUCACUAUAAAAAUAACCUAAGUUAAACAACUGCUCCGUUACACUGAUACUGGAUCCAAAUCAAAGAAUCAAGCCGACUCCUGAAGAUAUCCUCUGUGCCAGGCAAUGGGAUUACAAAGAGGCAUUUAAUUAAGACAAGCUCUCUACCCUCAAGGAGCCCAUCACUCUCCUAGAGAAGAGAGGGUAUUAAAUACAGUAACAACAAAAGGGGCAUGAUCCAAGUGCCAAAUGAAUGUCUAUAAUGGAUGGAAUACUAUCAAAUAGUAGUACUGCAGGGAUUCUAGACUAGAAUGACCACAGGACUGAAGAGGUUAGAGGAGGCUUUGUGCAAUACAUAGAAGCCAUUAUUUGAAGGAAAGACAGGCC